UACGUAGGGGGCAAGCGUUGUCCGGAUUUAUUGGGCGUAAAGAGCGUGUAGGCGGCCAUUCAGGUCAGCUGUGAAAACUCGAGGCUCAACCUCGAGACGCCGAUGGAAACCAUCAGACUAGAGUCCGGAAGAGGAGAGUGGAAUUCCUGGUGUAGCGGUGAAAUGCGCAGAUAUCAGGAGGAACACCAAUGGCGAAGGCAGCUCUCGUGGUAACGUGACUGACGCUGAGACGUGAAAGCGUGGGUAGCAAACAGG
rnacentral:rRNA from 1 species